CGCCGCGCCGUCCGGUCCGCUGAGGGCGUCCCGGGUCGCUGGACCUCAGAUGCUGGACGAGCGCUGCAGCCGGGAGCCGCGUGAGGCCGAAGGAGGCCCGGAGCGCAGCCAUGGGGUCUGUAUCCUUCGAGGAUGUGGCUGUGAACUUCACCUCAGAGGAGUGGGCUUUACUGAAUUCUUCCCAAAAGAAGCUGCACAGAGAUGUGAUGCAGGAAACCUUCAGGAACCUGGCUGCCGUAGCAAAAAAGCAGGAAGAUCAGACCCUUGAAGAGGAUUAUGAAAAUUUAAGGAAAAUUCUUCCCACUGAAGUUCAGACUGG